GGCCGCGUGGCCCAAUGGCAAGGCGUCUGACUACGACCUGCGUUCACACGCUUUCGUAUCAAUCAGGAGAUCGUGGGUUCGAGCCCCAUCGUGGUCA